UACAGGGCGAGGUCGACCCCGACCACCUCGCCGGCCUUGCCGUGGGGAUAAGACCAACCCCAGUCCCCCCCUUUCUCCCCUGUGGAACCCUAAUCCCCUCUCCCUCCCUCACGCGCCCCUCGCCCUUCCAUGCCAGAUCCGCCCACUCUCGAACGCCUCCGUCGCCGCUGUUGCCGUCGACCUCGCGGCUACCAUCGCCCCCACGCCGAGCUGAGAGGUCCCGCGGAUUCGCUGUCGUCUGCUUCCUCCUCCUCGUGCACGAGAUCAAGCUGGACCAGCCCCGAACUCCGCCAUCGACCUCGCCUUCAACUUGGACCUGCCGCCGUUCGUCGUCGGAUUUGCUGCCUCCGGAGCUCCCCCGACCUCCCUACCUCAUCCACGAGCUCGCAACCCCGAGACCGAUGCUGAUGUCGCUGUGAUCGACUACUUCGAUGACGACCCUCCUUCUUGUCUGAGCAACCAGAUGGUGGAUCCCUGGAGCUAGAUGCCACCGCUAACGGAUACUGCUACUUGAAGACUGCCGACGACCAGGAGUAGUUAGGAGGUCCCAGGCAGGAGGCCUUGCCUCUUUGAUCGUUGUUGCUUUUGUGUUUGCCUUCUUAAGGCAUCCUUGUCUAACUUAUGUCUGGACUUAGAU